rnacentral:tRNA from 1 species
AAAAACUUAGGAUAAACUAAAACCGUGGACCUUCAAAGUCCAAAAUAGGGGGUAACCCCUAGUUUUUG